GUCGGCGGGGUAACGGCCCACCGAGGCGACGAUGCGUAGGGGUUCUGAGAGGAAGGUCCCCCACACUGGUACUGAGACACGGACCAGACUCCUACGGGAGGCAGCAGUGAGGAAUAUUGGUCAAUGGCCGGGAGGCUGAACCAGCCAAGUCGCGUGAGGGAAGACGGCCCUACGGGUUGUAAACCUCUUUUGUCAGGGAGCAAGAGGCGGGUCGAGACCUGCUGUGAGAGUACCUGAAGAAAAAGCAUCGGCUAACUCCGUGCCAGCAGCCGCGGUAAUACGGAGGAUGCGAGCGUUAUCCGGAUUUAUUGGGUUUAAAGGGUGCGCAGGCGGAGGCACAAGUCAGCGGUAAAAUCGCGGGGCUCAACCCCGCUCCGCCGUUGAAACUGUGUCCCUUGAGUGCGCGAAGGGUAGGCGGAAUGCGUGGUGUAGCGGUGAAAUGCAUAGAUAUCACGCAGAACUCCGAUCGCGAAGGCAGCCUACCGGCGCGCAACUGACGCUCAUGCACGAAAGCGUGGGUAUCGAACAGGAUUAGAUACCCUGGUAGUCCACGCAGUAAACGAUGAAUGCUAUCUGUCCGGCCGGAAUGACGGCUGGGUGGC
rnacentral:rRNA from 1 species